rnacentral:lncRNA from 1 species
CAGAAAAUAGCACACUUUUACUCUGCGCAACUGUUGCUUUUUCAUGAUCUUCAGGAAUUUUACUGGGAUAAUUGUUCAAAUAAAUUGCAAG